UCCCAAAACCCUCAAAAAUCCUGAAAUUUGGGGUCCCCACAGGCCGGAAUUUGGGGAUUUCAGUUUCUCAUUCCCAGAAAAAAAAACCCCGGAUUUUAUGGGGAGGGAAAUGUAAUUUUUUUGUAAAAACGGUGUUUUUUUGGGAAGUCUUUUUGUAAUAAAAACAUUUUGAGCAAAAAGAAAAAGCGGAACUUUGGAGAAGCAGGCGGGGAAUCCCUGAGGGAAAAGGAGAUUUUGGUGGGGAUUUGAGGGGAAAACGGGAAUUUCGGAGGGGCCGGACCGCGGGUGGGGGAAUUCCUGAGGGGGAAAGGCACUUUUUAGGGGGAAACAGGGAAGAAUUCCCGGGGGAGAAGCGGCGCGGGUGGAUUUUGGGGUGAAAAAUCGCGAAGUCCGCGGCUCCCACCUCAAAAAAACCGCCGCCAUUUUGUGCCGCGCUUCUCCACGCGGGGUUACGGUAAAGCGCGAGAGCUCUCGCGAUAUUACGGUAAGAGCCGGUGGCGAGCGGGGCCUCGUGCGCCGCGCGCUCUGAUUGGCCGCAACCGCCGCGGCGCGAGGGCGGGAGGAACGAACUGAGCGCUGAUUGGUUGAGGCUUCCCGCGCUGGGCGCUGAUUGGACGGCGGUUCCGUGAGGGGCAGGAAGAGGAGGAGCAGGAAGAAGCCGCGGCGGCCAUGGCGGCGAUGGCGGCCCUGGAGCGCUGGGUGUCCGGGCAGCUGCAGGAGCUGCUGGGCCUCAGCGCCCGCCACGUCCCCGCGUUCCUGGUGGCGCUGGCGCGGCGCAGCCGCAGCCCGGAGGAGCUGCUGGAGCGGCUGCGCGAGACCGAGGCCCUGCGCGUGGAGGAGCCGCGCGUGCGCGAGUUCGCGAGCCAGCUGUGGGACAAGGUGCCGCGGGAAGCCCCCCGGGNAUGUCCCCUCCCUGUCCCAGAGCCCGGUGCUGCCCCCGACCAUCACGGACCAGAUCCGGCUCUGGGAGCUCGAGCGGGACCGGCUGCGCUUCUCCGACGGUGAGAGACUGUCCCCAAGUGUCCCCAAGUGUCCCCAAGUGUCACCAGGUGUCACCAAAUGUCACCAAAUGUCACCAGGUGUCACCAAAUGUCACCAGGUGUCACUGAACUGUCCCCAAAUGUCACCAGGUGUCACUGAACUGUCCCCAAGUGUCCCCAGAUGUCCCCAAAUGUCCCCAGGUGUCCCCAAAUGUCACCAAAUAUCCCCAGGUGUCACCAAAUAUCCCCAAAAUGUCACCAAGGUGUCACCAAAGUGUCCUCAAACUGUCCCCAGGUGUCCCUAAAUGUCACCAAAUGUCACCGAGGUGUCACCAAGUGUAACCAGGUGUCACCAAGUGUCCCCAAAAUGUCCCCAAAUGUCCCCGAAGUGUCCCCAAAAUGUCCCAAAAGGGUCAUCAGAGCGUCCCCAAGGGGGAGGUGACACCUCAGGGGGAGGAGGUGCUGGUGUCCCCAAGGGGGAGGUGACAGGAGGUGACAGGAGGUGACAGGAGGUGACAGGAGGUGACAGUGUCCCUGUCCCCUCCCCUGUCCAGGUGUGCUGUACAACCAGUUCCUGUCCCAGGUGGAUUUCGAGGUGUUGCGGGACCACGCCCGCGCUCUGGGGGUGCUCGUCUUCGAGAACCCCGCCCGGCGCCUGAUGGUGGUCACCCCCGCCG
ensembl:lncRNA